UUCGAUCACAUAACUACACAGUACCCACCUCUUAGUUCGCCUAGAUAUCCCACUACGAUUCUCUCCUCUAUCGAUGGUUUUCCAUCGGGAUUGUCGUUGGUUCCUGACCUACUGUGCUUGUAGGGACCGGCAUUGGUGAUGGACAUGGUGGAGAUGACGUGUUAGAAGAUGUGAAAUGGUUGUUUGUUGAGACAUGCUAGUAUGAUGUGAUGACUGAAGGUGAUGUUACAUUAUCUCCUAUAUGUGUCCAUCGGGGAUAUCUAUGCUAUUUUACAAUUUACUGGUUAUUGCUGCAUGGGCUUUGACUGGCGAUUUUUCUUAUGAAAUUAUUAACUCCAGUAAUUUGUAAGGCAUCCACCAUUUGGCCUAAGUAAUUGAAAAUUAUAUACAUCAGAAACUAAGUAAUUCAGAACCCUAACUAGUACAGUUUCUGUUAGCACAUUGGUAAGUAAUAACUGAUAGGUAUCUCUAGUCGAGCCAGAUAUUGCUUUUGUUCUAUAUGCAGUCAAUUUCUCUACCUGAUCACUAGUUUAUACUAUAUUGCACAAGAUGAAAGUCACAUGACUAGGUUCAUAAAUAAACGAUAUUUCCAGGUUACAUAAAUUUGUAAUUUUGUAUGGCAUUAUUAUAUACUCCUUUCGUUCACAAAUAUAAGAUGUUCUAACUUUUUUGUGACUCGGAUGUAUAUAAACAUGUUUUAGUGUGUUUGUUCAUUCAUUUCAUUCCGUAUGUAGUACAUACUGAAAUAUCUAAAACAUCUUUUAUAUUUGUGAACGGUGGGAGUACUUGUUAACUCUUGACAGUAACAAAAAUAGCGGUCAAUGGCUCAUCUUUUCUGACUUCUAAUGCCAUGCAAAGUUUAAAACGGCAUCCAUUUUGGGCUGAAAGAAAUGUUGUUUUAUGAGUUGACAACGUAGUAUCUGCUGAUACUAGUUCUUGUGAGUAAUUCCAGUAUGCUUAUAACUAAGCUGAAUGUUUUUACUUUCUAUUAUUUUGCGCAAUGCAUGAUAUUUACAUUAUAUUGCACAUACCUUGAUGUUCUAGAGAGUUAAGUAUUUGCCCGUCCUGCAUUAAAGCACCAUGUAACCGAUUGGAUUGUUGUUUAUACAGGUAUGGCUAAGUUGGAGGAAUGGCUUAUCGGUGUAGGUUCUUCUAUUUUGUGUUUUCUGGUGUUGUGGCCAGUGAUGGUCCAUUCCAUCUGGAAAUUGAUCCGUUGUAGUACGCUUGCAUGAACAAACUGUUUUAACUUGUUAGCUCCCACUAUAUAUUUCUUCAGUGACCUCUGUAGACAGUAAGAAAAUUGGCAGUUCGGCACGGUGGGUGUGUGCCUUG
rnacentral:lncRNA from 1 species